rnacentral:rRNA from 1 species
GACGAACGCUGGCGGCGUGCUUAACACAUGCAAGUCGAGCGGUAAGGCCCUUCGGGGUACGACGAGCGGCGAACGGGUGAGUAACACGUGGGUGACCUGCCUCUAGCUCUGGGAUAAGCCUGGGAAACUGGGUCUAAUACCGGAUAUGACUCCACGGCGCAUGUUGUGGGUGGAAAGCCUUGUGUGGCUAGAGAUGGGCCCGCGGCCUAUCAGCUUGUUGGUGGGGUGAUGGCCUACCAAGGCGACGACGGGUAGCCGGCCUGAGAGGGCGACCGGCCACACUGGGACUGAGACACGGCCCAGACUCCUACGGGAGGCAGCAGUGGGGAAUCUUGCGCAAUGGGCGAAAGCCUGACGCAGCGACG